GGGGUUGACUGGUUUCGACAGCAGGAACAAUGGGUAAGUAAGCAUGCAGAGAACCGCAGCGCGAUCUCUUUAAUCCCUUGCUGCAAAAUUAUAACUGGCAACCAAGAGUUUGCUCUUGCAGCAUAGUCUGAAGUUUAGUAGGACUUGCGUUUUCCCGAAGUGUAGUAAGGAAGCGAGAUGUUUCACGGAAGUUCUGUUCUGCGACUUCCGAUUCUGAGGCAUAGAAAUGCGGAAAUAAGUUUUCGGGAACUUCGACCGAGAAACGAAAAUUUUAGAAGUUAGGCGUAGAAUUGGGUGUCUGUUCUCUGUUUUGCGAUGAAAAUUAAAAACGGAACAAGCAUGUAGAAAUCUUGCGUAUUGCCUGUUUGGACGAGGGUUCGAAUCCCUCCAACUCCACGA
rnacentral:tmRNA from 1 species